rnacentral:rRNA from 1 species
UACGUAGGGGCGAGCGUUGUCCGGAUUUAUUGGGCGUAAAGAGCUCGUAGGCGGUUCGGUAAGUCGGGUGUGAAACCUCCAGGCUCAACCUGGAGACGCCACCCGAUACUGCUGUGACUAGAGUCCGGUAGGGGAGCGUGGAAUUCCCGGUGUAGCGGUGAAAUGCGCAGAUAUCAGGAGGAACGCCGGUGGCGAAGGCGGGUCUCUGGGCCGAUACUGACGCUGAGGAGCGAAAGCGUGGGGAGCGAACAGG